rnacentral:rRNA from 1 species
AACGUAGGAGACAAACGUUAUCCGGAGUUACUGGGCGUAAAGGGCGUGUAGGCGGUUUGUUAAGUCUGGCGUGAAAGCUCUCGGCUAAACCGGGAGAGGUCGUUGGAUACUGGCGAACUAGAGGAUGGUAGAGGCGUGUGGAAUUCCGGGUGUAGUGGUGAAAUGCGUAGAGAUCCGGAGGAACACCAGUGGCGAAGGCGGCCCACUGGCUCGACACUGACGCUGAGGCGCGAAAGCGUGGGGAGCAAACAGG